rnacentral:rRNA from 1 species
GACGAACGCUGGCGGCGUGCUUAACACAUGCAAGUCGAACGGAAAGGCCCUGCUUUUGUGGGGUGCUCGAGUGGCGAACGGGUGAGUAACACGUGAGUAACCUGCCCUUGACUUUGGGAUAACUUCAGGAAACUGGGGCUAAUACCGGAUAGGAGCUCCUGCUGCAUGGUGGGGGUUGGAAAGUUUCGGCGGUUGGGGAUGGACUCGGGGCUUAUCAGCUGGUUGGUGGGGUAGUGGCUUACCAAGGCUUUGACGGGUAGCCGGCCUGAGAGGGUGACCGGCCACCUUGGGACUGAGAUACGGCCCAGACUCCUACGGGAGGCAGCAGUGGGGAAUAUUGCACAAUGGGCGGAAGCCUGAUGCAGCAACGCCGCGUGCGGGAUGACGGCCUUCGGGUUGUAAACCGCUUUCGCCUGUGACGAAGCGUGAGUGACGGUAAUGGGUAAAGAAGCACCGGCUAACUACGUG